rnacentral:lncRNA from 1 species
UCCAGAUGAGGAUGAAACCCAUAAAUACUUCUUCAAAAGCCACCAAGUGGAGUCCUGGGGCUUCAAUCACUGAAGUGUAUGUCACACAGCUGGAAUGUGCCCAUGUGAUCAGCUCACUAUAAGUGACCUCCACUACUGGACUUCUUGGAACUGAGGUUCUGCACAUGUAUGCCAGUAAACCUUCAAGACCUGGAGAUAGAGUGCCCUGUGCAACCCAGUUUUAGGAGGAUAAAGAAGCCUGUAUCUGAUAUCUCUGGGACCCCUGCAUUACCUAUCUGUCUUCUGCUGUUGCUGUACUGUUUCCCUUGUCUGUAAUAAAACUACCCCAUGAGGAUAAACCAUUUGAGUGUUGUGAGUCCUUUCAGCAAUCAAACACUUAAGGUGACUAAAUUUGUAAUUCAGGUAAGAGUUCAUCAACUGAUCAUCUCCCCACAAUAAGGACAGCUGGUAUAGCAGACUGGCCAAAGUCUGAGCUCUGGAGUCCACCUGCAUGGGCUCAAAUCAAAGCUUCAUCCUUUGCUGAGUCUCCUUGUGUGAGUAAAUGGGGAAGUAAUAGUCUAUUAGUUUUUGUGCAAAGUUUUAUAAAAAGGCCUGGCACAGAGUAGCACUUAGUAAGUGUUUGCCACAGUUAGCAAAUUCUGUCUUUGGAGGCCCAGGAAGCAAAUAUCUAGAAGUUUACUGUCUCCAUUUUCAGCCUUCAAAAGUUCAUAAAUAUUGAGGUCUAGAUCAGAGCACCCCUCUACACAAUUAAAAAGUGCUUGUUAUGAUAAAGGGCAAGGGUAUGAUGAUUUAUCAAUUUUUUAUUUUUCUAGAUAGAAAACAAAAAUACCAGGGUAUCUAGUCAAAGCUAUUAGAUGGCUCUAAGAUCAAAGGAGAAAAGAAAAAAUAUUCUGAAAAUUACAGACAGUACUAUAAAUAAAAGAGGUCUGCUUAUUCUUGUUCCUUUUUAGUUUCUCUUGGGGAGUUUUACUCCCUUCAAAGUUUGUCCACCAACUUAGCCAAAUGUACCACCAUGUCUGCCCCCUCAGCCUUGACCUUUGCUCCAGGCCUCAGUUCCACAAUCCAAACUGUCCACUGAAUGUUCUACCUGAAGGUUGGGCAGGAAUUGCAGCUUUGAAUGCUUUGUCUUCUCCCCAGCCUGUUUCUUCAAGGCUGUCUGCAGGCUCGGCUUUCUAGUGGCAUGGAAAUCAAUCUGGGGUAUGAGUGCUGUUGCUGCACCUAUUUGUCUUCAGAUCCGUUCCUUGCCCGUUUCCUGCUUGGGUCAGCAUCUGCAAGGCAGAUGACCUCUGCAGGCUGUGAUUCUCAGGCUCCCUGUGUCAUAUAGUUUCUUGCAGCAUUCCCCUAAUGGGAGAAACUGGCUGGCAUUUGAAAGUGUGAAGGAAGACAGCAGCCAAGUUGUUUCUCCCAUUUCUUUUUGCUUUGGGUGAUAACCCCAGCAGUGGAAGCAUCUUCUCAUGACUCCAGUGCCCACAGAACAGACAUGCCACCAUUCCAGCCUCCAAAGAUGACCCCAAACCUAGGCUCUGGUAAUAUUACCCCUUCUAUUUUUCCCUCCAACCUAAGUGUAGCUGGGGCUUCUGUCUGUUGCUGAUGCUGCAUCACAAUUUCUUGUUUGCUUUUUUGGCAAACUUCAUCACCUGUGUAACCAAUUCCCUAUGUUAAAUUCUCUGUGUUAAAUAGUCCAGAAUUUGUUCUGCUUUCCUGAUUGGAUCCUGAUGAUGCUGUAGGCAUGUUGCCAUCCAGGCACAGUUUCUGCUGCUGCAACUCCUUUGGUGUCUACAAUAUGGUGCUGGGGCAGAGAGAGAGAGAGAAAGGUAGAGCUGGGCUAAUGCAAGUUCCUUUCAGGUGAGAAGGGGGAUGGGAGAGGGUCCUAUCUGGUUGCAUGGACAUGACAUCACUUGGGGUGAUUUGAUAAAAUAUCAUGACUGGGUACCACUCUGAGAGAUUCUGAUUUAACUUAUCUAGGGUGUAGCCCAGGUACAGGUAAUUUAUAAAGCUCCCUGGGUGAGUCUAAGGUGGAGAUGGAGUUGAGAAGCACUGCCCUAGAUAAUGAGAACCCAGCUGUUGUUGCUUCUGGAGCAUGUGUGACUGUGUGAAUGAGUGUGUUUGUGUGUGUAUGGGAGAGAGAGAGAGAGACAGAGAAAGAGACAUAGAGAGGACAGCAACAGAUGAUCUUUAAUUUUUAAAAAUAAUUUUUUAAAAAAGAGGAGAGCAAUUAGAUAAAAUUGUCAACACUGACACUGAAAAAAGCCAGAGGCUUAACAAAGAAGGAAGAAACCUGCACAUUCCACUGAAGAAGUUGGAGGGGAUUAGGAUAUGCCAUCCCACAUUAUGAUUCACUGGCAUAUUCACUAUUUUGGGCUGAAGGCAACUGAGAAACAAAAGAUUUAGGAAGGGCUGUCUUCCUCCUUUCUAUCAAAAGUCAGGGCAUACAUUUCCUGUGAGAAAGAUCUCCUCCCUAAACCACGAAGAAGAAAACAUUCAUACCACAGAAGAUAAUGAGUUGACGAUGAGAGGAAUCUGUACAAACAAACCUUGCUAACAUAACACUUUUUUUCCAUUAGUUUCCUCCAUGCAUUUUCUAGUCACUUUCCCACAAUUUACCACCCUAUCCCAAACCUCUUUUUCCUUUGCCUGAUCAUGUCUCCACAAUUUAUCAUUCUUGGUUACAAUGGUAUAUGAGCCCCUGGGUCUAACCAUAUCUUUGGGGUUUCACUUCUUUCUAAGAAACCCCCUGUGUCAUGUAAAAAUAUUAACAUCAAAUAAAAUGUGUAUGUUUUUUCUUUUGUUAAUCUGUCUUUUCAAAAUUCAUUUCAUAGGCUCCAGCCACAGAACCUAAGAGGGUAGGGGAGUGUCUUUCCUACCCUACAAAGUCGAAGGCUAAUUACAUACAAUAUUUAUGUGAAGAACUGAUCAUUAUGCUUAGCCACCCUUUAACAUCAUCAAGAUUAUUCAUAACAUUUCAUUAGCUAUGUUUGUUGUGAGGUUCAGUUGUUUCCCUCAAAAAGCUCUAUGAGUGUACAAGACGUGAUGAAUCAAUAAUGGACCUGCAUUCACAAGUCACACAUGCAAAGCCAGAAAUCUUGUUUUUCUUAUCAGCCUUCUGGGCCUACCAGUCAGGCAAAAAGGUCAGUGCUUUAAAAACACCCACAUGGGCCGGGCACAGUGGCUCAUGCCUGUAAUCCCAGCACUUUGGGAGGUCGAGGUGGGCAGAUUACGAGGUCAGGAGUUCGA